AGUGAACGCUGGCGGCAGGCCUAACACAUGCAAGUCGAACGGCAGCACAGUAAGAGCUUGCUCUUACGGGUGGCGAGUGGCGGACGGGUGAGGAAUACAUCGGAAUCUACUUUGUCGUGGGGGAUAACGUAGGGAAACUUACGCUAAUACCGCAUACGACCUACGGGUGAGAGCAGGGGAUCUUCGCACCUUGCGCGAUUGAAUGAGCCGAUGUCGCAUUAGCUAGUUGGCGGGGUAAAGGCCCACCAAGGCGACGAUCCGUAGCUGGUCUGAGAGGAUGAUCAGCCACACUGGAACUGAGACACGGUCCAGACUCCUACGGGAGGCAGCAGUGGGGAAUAUUGGACAAUGGGCGCAAGCCUGAUCCAGCCAUACCGCGUGGGUGAAGAAGGCCUUCGGGUUGUAAAGCCCUUUUGUUGGGAAAGAAAAGCAGCAGGUUAAUCCCCCGCUGUUCUGACGGUACCCAAAGAAUAAGCACCGGCUAACUUCGUG
rnacentral:rRNA from 1 species